GGUACCAGGACAGAUAGUUCUCUAGUGGUGAAGAAAGCCGUCCAAACCAUAAUGACAUGCAUAUAACUGCCGUACAUAUUUCUUUCAAUUAAUAUGUUCUAUAAUUUCCAUACAUAUUAUUUCUGUCGUUUUAAUGUUUUUGUUAUGUUUGUUUAAAUUAAUUUAUGCAUAUUGAGUGCUUAUGUUAAGUAGGAGUACAUAUGCGUUAUACACGGACAUUUUGAAAGAUGCAACAGGAAAAUCACGGACCUUUGGUGAGAAGUUAAUAUCUCUGCAUGUGAAUUUAAGUUGUAAAGAAGUUGCAAAGAAGAAAAGAUGUUUUUCAUUUUUGUAUUUUGAUCGGGGUAUUUCAAGAACUCAUUCCCUCUUGGUUAUAUGCAGCCAGCGAGUUUGACGGUGGAUUUCAUUGACGGUGAACGUGAUAGCGGAGAAAAGAAUGAGAAAGGCAAUAAAUCCAUCAGUAUCCAGAA